AGUGAACGCUGGCGGUAGGCCUAACACAUGCAAGUCGAACGGCAGCACAGUAAGAGCUUGCUCUUACGGGUGGCGAGUGGCGGACGGGUGAGGAAUACAUCGGAAUCUACUUUUUCGUGGGGGUUACCGUGGGGAAACUUCCGCUAAUACCGCAUCCGCCCUCCGGGUAAAACCAGGGGAUCUUCGGACCUUCGCCGAUGGAUUGACCCGAUGUCGGUUUGGCUAGUGGGCGGGGUAAGGGCCCCCCAGGGCACCGUUCCGAAGCUGGUCGAGAGGAUGGUUCGGCCAAACGGAACCGAGACCAGGGCCCGAACUCCUAGGGAAGGCACAGGGGGGAAUAUUGGACAAUGGGCGCAAGCCUGAUCCAGCCAUACCGCGUGGGUGAAGAAGGCCUUCGGGUUGUAAAGCCCUUUUGUUGGGAAAGAAAAGCAGCAGGUUAAUACCCCGCUGUUCUGACGGUACCCAAAGAAUAAGCACCGGCUAACUUCGUG
rnacentral:rRNA from 1 species